GGCAGUGUCUGUGAGGGUGAAAGUAUCUGUUCAGGGCUCACCUCUGAGGAAAACCUUCUCGACAGAAAGGCGAAAUUUAAACUGACAAGGGAGAACCCUCUAAAAGCAAAAGGCAUCAUGGGACGAGGUGAGAGUGAAGACUGGGAUGAAGAGCCUAAGGAGACAAAAACAACUCAGCCUAAGAAACAUGGGGACAAAGAGGGCAAAGGCUCACAUGGUGGAGGCUGUCCAAAGUGCUGCUUAAGGACCAGGGAUUGCCUCAUGAGCCCGGAAUGUGGAAGGGCGCUGCAGAUCUCCAGUGUUGUUGCAUUCUGUGGAAUGUGCAUCGGUGGAUGGACGUAAUAAAACCUGGGCAUCAAGACCUUCAAGGCUUUUAUAUGAACUAUGAAGAAUCCUUUAGUCUUCUGGAUGAGAUACUUCACUCUAAUUUAAAAUGAAAAAUGUUUUGUUUAACUCAUUAUUUCCUCUUCCUAACCUCUGUAGAUAUAACAUACCAGUGUUUUGGAGAAAAUUGUAUGUAAGUUCGAUGUUGAUGUAAAUUUCUAUUCUUUUGUCAAAGUGCUGUUGUGUAGACAGGCCAGAUGUUUGAUUAUGAUACAUUUUACUUAAAUAUUUUAAAGCAUACUCUUUAAUAUAUUUUUAUGUAUGUAAAUAACAGUGUGUCAUAUUUGUAUAUGUGGUAUAUGUACAGGAAGUGUAUUUUUGUGAGUUUGUAUAUACAUAAAAUAAGAUAAUGUUUUGAAGCCUUAAGUAAGGCUUUCAAUUACAAUUUACAGGCAAAAGUGCUAAACUUUAAAUACUCUUGUAAUUUUAUUUAUUGUAAUUUAUGUUAAGGUAAAUAUUUGGGAAUUUUCCCUAAAGUUUGGGUCACACAUAAGAAACAAAUGAAAGAAAAUGAUAGUGUGGUUCUCACAAUUUACAAAAUAAAGCAUCUUCACAUUUAACAGGA